rnacentral:rRNA from 1 species
GAUGAACGCUGGCGGCGUGCUUAAUACAUGCAAGUCGAGCGGACGGACGCGACUCUUGCUUCGCUCUUGUUAGCCGCGCACGGGUGAGACACACGUGGAAAACCUCCUUGUAUGACUGGGAUAUCUUCGGAAAUGCGGCGCUUAUCCGGGAGAAUAUUCUGAACCACAUGGUUGAAUGGUAAAUGACGGUCUUGGUGUAUCUUCUCGAUGGAUCCGCGCUUCUUGAGCUAGUUGGUAAGGUCACGGCUUACGAAGGGAACGAUGCAUAGCCGACCUGAGAGGGUGAUCGGCCACACUGGAACGGAGACACGCUCCAGACUCCUACGGGAGGCAGCAGUAGGGAAACUUGCGCAAUGGGCGAAAGCCUGACGGAGCAAGGCCGCGUGAGUGAUGAAGGUCGUCGGAUCGUAAAACUCUGUUAUUAGGGAAGAACAUAUGUGUAAGUAACAGUGCACAUCUUGACGGUACCUAAUCAGAAAGCCACGGCUAACUACGUG